UAUACGGUGAAACUGCGAAUGGCUCAUUAAAUCAGUUAUCGUUUAUUUGAUAGUACCUUACUACUUGGAUAACCGUGGUAAUUCUAGAGCUAAUACAUGCUAAAAACCUCGACUUCGGAAGGGGUGUAUUUAUUAGAUAAAAAACCAAUGCCCUUCGGGGCUCCUUGGUGAUUCAUAAUAACUUAACGAAUCGCAUGGCCUUGUGCCGGCGAUGGUUCAUUCAAAUUUCUGCCCUAUCAACUUUCGAUUGUAAGGUAGUGGCUUACAAUGGUUUCAACGGGUAACGGGGAAUUAGGGUUCUAUUCCGGAGAGGGAGCCUGAGAAACGGCUACCACAUCCAAGGAAGGCAGCAGGCGCGCAAAUUACCCAAUCCCGACACGGGGAGGUAGUGACAAUAAAUACUGAUACAGGGCUCUUUUGGGUCUUGUAAUUGGAAUGAGUACAAUUUAAAUCCCUUAACGAGGAACAAUUGGAGGGCAAGUCUGGUGCCAGCAGCCGCGGUAAUUCCAGCUCCAAUAGCGUAUAUUAAAGUUGUUGCAGUUAAAAAGCUCGUAGUUGAACCUUGGGCCUGGCUGGCCGGUCCGCCUCACCGCGUGCACUGGUCCGGCCGGGUCUUUCCUUCUGGGGAGCCGCAUGCCCUUUACUGGGUGUGUCGGGGAACCAGGACUUUUACUUUGAAAAAAUUAGAGUGUUCAAAGCAGGCCUAUGCUCGAAUACAUUAGCAUGGAAUAAUAGAAUAGGACGUGUGGUUCUAUUUUGUUGGUUUCUAGGACCGCCGUAAUGAUUAAUAGGGAUAGUCGGGGGCAUCAGUAUUCAAUUGUCAGAGGUGAAAUUCUUGGAUUUAUUGAAGACUAACUACUGCGAAAGCAUUUGCCAAGGAUGUUUUCAUUAAUCAGUGAACGAAAGUUAGGGGAUCGAAGACGAUCAGAUACCGUCGUAGUCUUAACCAUAAACUAUGCCGACUAGGGAUCGGGCGAUGUUAUCUUUUUGACUCGCUCGGCACCUUACGAGAAAUCAAAGUCUUUGGGUCUGGGGG
rnacentral:rRNA from 1 species